rnacentral:rRNA from 1 species
GACGAACGCUGGCGGCAUGCCUAAUACAUGCAAGUCGGACGGAUAUGUUUAAAUGACAUAUCAGUGGCGAACGGGUGAGUAACACGUAAGUGACCUACCUGUACGACGAGGAUAACUACUGGAAACGGUAGCUAAUACUGGAUAGGAUAUAUACCAUAAGGGUAUAUAUUUAAAGGUCCUAAGGGACCGCGUACAGAAGGGCUUGCGGCGCAUUAGCUAGUUGGUGGGGUAAAGGCCUACCAAGGCGACGAUGCGUAGCCGACCUGAGAGGGUGACCGGCCACACUGGGACUGAGAGACGGCCCAGACUCCUACGGGAGGCAGCAGUAGGGAAUCUUCGGCAAUGGACGGAAGUCUGACCGAGCGAUGCCGCGUGAGCGAAGAAGGUCUUCGGAUUGUAAAGCUCUGUGAUUAGGGAAGAAGGCUAUUAGGAGGGAAUGCCUAAUAGGUGACGGUACCUAAUUAGAAAGCCACGGCUAACUACGUGCCAGCAGCCGCGGUAAUCUCGUCU